UCACUAACAGUGACCACAACACUCUUCUUCUUCUCCUCAACCUUGUUUAAACAAGGAAACAAAGGUGCAUUCUUCUCCUUGAAAUCAUUGUAACCCAUACCCAUAUUCUUCGGUCUCAAUUGUACUUCAAUAGGAGCUACAAUUCCCUGCUGAUUCUUUCCAAGCCCUCUUCCUUUAUAUCCCAUUUUUUCAAGCAAUUUCAUACCAAUCCCUCCACUAAACUUUUCAAAGUUUUCCUUUUUAUUAUUCUUCUCUCUCACAUGUGCCUUGUCAGCUAUUUUCUUACCCAAUGCAAUAGGUAAAAUAGUAUCAUCAUUCUCAUCAAUUUUACAGUUUCCCCGAUUCUG